CGCAUAUACUGCUUUGUCAAUCUAAUCAUGAUGCCGGCCUCAGUUUGACAGCCCACUGCAGAUACGGAGUGUGCUGCAGCAAGUGGCUCUGGCGUUGGCCGUCGCCGAGGAGGCGCUCCAGUUCGAGCACCGCAAUUUACACGCGGCUCACGUGCUGGUCAAGAAGACCCAAGACGAUACCUGCCGCGGCCACGUCGGAGGCCGCGACAUCGUGGUCAACACGUGUGGCCUUAGGGCGCACCUUGCUGGAUACGGCUUGGCUCGCAUCACUCACGGAAACGGGCCCCUCUACACAGAACCUUCUAGUAUAUACGAGUCCUCGAAGGAGCACCGCCUUCUCUUCGUCUACAGAGACAUGGCAACCAUCACGAGAAACGAGUGGUACGGCUUCCACCCCUUGACCAACGUGCUGUACGUGCAGCGGCUGAUCGAGGAACAACUUGAUCAGCGCUACAGGUUCUGCAGUGAUGACAGCCAGGCGGUGUGGUCCGAGGUGGAAAGCUGGAGGGACCGUCUCCUGCACUACGAGGCACUUGACCUCUUCGUCAAGGACAACUUCAAGAGUGUGCCGUGAACAUCUGCCCUUGCCCGAUAUUUUGAUAAAAGCGCGAAAAAGGACAGCAUACUUAGCGGUGGCUUCAAGUGGAUGAUCCAAUUAGAGAACACGAAGAUACAGUCAAUAUGUCUCCAAGGCUCUGUUAUUAUGGAGCGACCGAACCGAGUCGUUAUAGUCUGCAGCAAUGAGCAGGGAAGCAUUAUUAUUAUUGUUACGCAUUUUCAAAUUGAUUUUGCGUGCGAAAGCCCUGACGAAACUCUCUUGCUGCUAUAUAUUCUAGCAUAGGCUGAACGUCAAAAAUGCACCCGCAGCCAAUUUUAUUCAGAUGU